rnacentral:rRNA from 1 species
UACGUAGGGGGCAAGCGUUGUCCGGAAUCAUUGGGCGUAAAGCGCGUGUAGGCGGCCAGAAAAGUCCGCUGUGAAAACUCGAGGCUCAACUUCGAGCUGUCGGUGGAAACUUUCUGGCUAGAGUCCGGAAGAGGAGAAUGGAAUUCCUGGUGUAGCGGUGAAAUGCGCAGAUAUCAGGAAGAACACCCGUGGCGAAGGCGGUUCUCUGGGCCUUACCUGACGCUGAGGAGCGAAAGCGUGGGGAGCGAACAGG